GAGCAAUGGUGUCCUUCAAAAAUGACAGAUAUUUGCAUUGAAGGUUGGCUAUAUGUAUAGCGAUUCUCCGUGCCUUUCAAUCUUUUUUCUCGUAUUGAUUACGGCCUCGAACAAAUUGCUAUAUC
rnacentral:snoRNA from 1 species